GCAGCGGAGCGUGUGGUUUAAUUCGAUGUUACACGAAGAACCUUACCAGGGUUUGACAUGCAAGUGGUAGGAAGCCCGAAAGGUGACCGACCUUCGGGGAGCUUGCACAGGUGCUGCAUGGCUGUCGUCAGCUCGUGUCGUGAGAUGUUGGGUUAAGUCCCGCAACGAGCGCAACCCUUAUCCCCAGUUGCCAUCAGGUAAAGCUGGGGAACUCUGGGGAGACUGCCGGUGAUAAACCGGAGGAAGGCGGGGAUGACGUCAAGUCCUCAUGGCCCUUACAUCCCGGGCUACACACGUGCUACAAUGGCAGGUACAGAGGGCUGCGAAGCCGCGAGGUGGAGCGAAUCCCAGAAAACCUGUCUCAGUCCGGAUUGAAGUCUGCAACUCGACUUCAUGAAGGCGGAAUCGCUAGUAACCGCGAAUCAGCAGGUCGCGGUGAAUACGUUCCCGGGCCUU
rnacentral:rRNA from 1 species